rnacentral:rRNA from 1 species
GACGAACGCUGGCGGCGUGCUUAACACAUGCAAGUCGAACGGAAAGACCCUGCUUUUGUGGGAUGCUCGAGUGGCGAACGGGUGAGUAACACGUGAGUAACCUGCCCUUGACUUUGGGAUAACUUCAGGAAACUGGGGCUAAUACCGGAUAGGAGCUCCUGCUGCAUGGUGGGGGUUGGAAAGUUUCGGCGGUUGGGGAUGGACUCGCGGCUUAUCAGCUUGUUGGUGGGGUAGUGGCUUACCAAGGCUUUGACGGGUAGCCGGCCUGAGAGGGUGACCGGCCACAUUGGGACUGAGAUACGGCCCAGACUCCUACGGGAGGCAGCAGUGGGGAAUAUUGCACAAUGGGCGGAAGCCUGAUGCAGCAACGCCGCGUGCGGGAUGACGGCCUUCGGGUUGUAAACCGCUUUCGCCUGUGACGAAGCGUGAGUGACGGUAAUGGGUAAAGAAGCACCGGCUAACUACGUG